UACGUAGGGGGCAAGCGUUGUCCGGAUUUAUUGGGCGUAAAGAGCGUGUAGGCGGCCAUGUAGGUCCGUUGUGAAAACUCGAGGCUCAACCUCGAGACGCCGAUGGAAACCAUGUGGCUAGAGUCCGGAAGAGGAGAGUGGAAUUCCUGGUGUAGCGGUGAAAUGCGCAGAUAUCAGGAGGAACACCGAUGGCGAAGGCAGGUCACUGGGCCGCAACUGACGCUGAGGAGCGAAAGCAUGGGGAGCGAACAGG
rnacentral:rRNA from 1 species